CCAAAGGCUCUUUUCAGAGCCACCCACAUCUUCUAGAAAGAGCAGG
rfam:Taeniopygia guttata chromosome 1A, whole genome shotgun sequence.